CUUGACUGUAGCUUGGAAUUGGGUUCGGGCUCUUCUUGCGCAGCCUAGGUGGGAGGCGUUGAAGGUUUUCUUUCGGGGAAACUGGAGCCAACAGUGAGAGACCACUCUGGAGGAGCUAGAAUUCUAAUGGCGUUCCUUGAAGCAGGACGCUUGACAGUUUCAGGUGGGCAGUUUGACUGGGGCGGUCACCUCCUAAAAAGUAACGGAGGUGUGCAAAGGUUCCCUCAGGCUGGACGGAAAUCAGCCGGAGAGUGUAAAGGCAGAAGGGAGCUUGACUGCAAGACCUACAAGUCGAGCAGGGGCGAAAGCCGGCCUUAGUGAUCCGACGGUUCCAUGUGGAAGGGCCGUCGCUCAACGGAUAAAAGUUA
rnacentral:rRNA from 1 species